rnacentral:tRNA from 1 species
GCUGGGAUAGCUCAGAUGGUAGAGCGAUGCACUCGUAAUGCAUAGGUCGAGGGUUCAAGUCCCUUUUCCAGCU